GAGAGCACAGUACGAUGAAAGUUGUAAGCUGUGUUCGGAGGGUUAUUGUCUAUCGUUGGCCUCUAUGGUAGAAUCCGUUGGGGCCUGAGAGGCGGUGAUUUACCCUGU
rfam:Medicago truncatula strain A17 chromosome 4, whole genome shotgun sequence.